rnacentral:rRNA from 1 species
GAUGAACGCUGGCGGCGUGCCUAAUACAUGCAAGUCGAGCGAACAGACGAGGAGCUUGCUCCUCUGACGUUAGCGGCGGACGGGUGAGUAACACGUGGAUAACCUACCUAUAAGACUGGGAUAACUUCGGAAAACCGGAGCUAAUACGGGAUAAUAUAUUGAACCGCAUGGUUCAUUAGUGAAAGAGGGUUUUGCUGUAACUAAUAGAUGGACCCGCCCGACAUUAGCAAGUGGGUAAGGUAACGGCUUACCAAGGCAACGAUGCGUAGCCGCCCUGAGGGGGUGAUCGGCCACACUGGAACUGAGACACGGGCCAGCCUCCUAGGGGGGGCAGGAGGAGGGAAUCUUCCGCAAGGGGCGAAAGCUUGACGGAGCAACGCCGCGGGAGGGAUGAAGGUCUUCGGAUCGUAAAACUUUUUUAUUAGGGAAAAACAAAUGUGUAAGUAACUAUGCACGUCUUGACGGUACCAAAGCAGAAAGCCACGGCUAACUACGU